rnacentral:rRNA from 1 species
CCCUACGGGGCGCAGCAGUAGGGAAUUUUCGUCAAUGGGCGCAAGCCUGAACGAGCAAUGCCGCGUGAACGAGGAAGGUCUUCGGAUCGUAAAGUUCUGUUGAAGGGGAAAAAGAGCGGAGAGAGGAAAUGCUUUCUGAUUGAUAUUACCCUUCGAGGAAGUCACGGCUAACUACGUGCCAGCAGCCGCGGUAAUACGUAGGUGGUGAGCGUUAUCCGGAAUGAUUGGGCGUAAAGGGUGCGUAGGCGGCCUGCUAAGUCUGGAGUGAAAGGUACCGGCUCAACCGGUACAGGCUCUGGAAACUG